rnacentral:tRNA from 1 species
UUCAAUGUGGCAGAAAUUAAUGCAUUGAGCUUAAAAUUCAAUUAUAAAUAAUUUUAUUUCUUUGAAA